rnacentral:rRNA from 1 species
GACGAACGCUGGCGGCGUGCUUAACACAUGCAAGUCGAACGAAGUGGCGAACGGGUGAGUAACGCGUAAUCAACCUGCCCUUCAGAGGGGGACAACAGUUGGAAACGACUGCUAAUCCCGCAUACUGAAGGAGGGGAUUGCGUCUGAUUAGCUAGUUGGAGGGGUAACGACCCACCAAGGCGAUGAUCAGUAGCCGGUCUGGAGGGAGUAACGGCCAAAUUGUGACUGAGACACGGCCCAGACUCCUACGGGAGGCAGCAGUGGGGAAUCUUCCGAAAUGGACGAAAGUCUGACGGGGCAACGCCGCGUGAGUGAUGACGGCCUUCGGGUUGUAAAGCUCUGUUAAUCGGGACGCGGUACCGGAAUAGAAAGCCACGGCUAACUACGUGCCAGCAGCCGCGGUAAUUC